CAGUCGAACGAGUUCUUGUUGAUGAUCGGUGCUUGCACCAAGAUUCAACAUGGCACGAGUGGCGGACGGGUGAGUAACACGUGGGUAACCUGCCCUUAAGUGGGGGAUAACAUUUGGAAACAGAUGCUAAUACCGCAUAGAUCCAAGAACCGCAUGGUUCUUGGCUGAAAGAUGGCGUAAGCUAUCGCUUUUGGAUGGACCCGCGGCGUAUUAGCUAGUUGGUGAGGUAAUGGCUCACCAAGGCGAUGAUACGUAGCCGAACUGAGAGGUUGAUCGGCCACAUUGGGACUGAGACACGGCCCAAACUCCUACGGGAGGCAGCAGUAGGGAAUCUUCCACAAUGGGCGCAAGUCUGAUGGAGCAACGCCGCGUGAGUGAGGAAGGCUUUCGGGUCGUAAAACUCUGUUGUUGGAGAAGAAUGGUCGGCAGAGUAACUGUUGUCGGCGUGACGGUAUCCAACCAGAAAGCCACGGCUAACUACGUGCCAGCAGCCGCGGUAAUACGUAGGUGGCAAGCGUUAUCCGGAUUUAUUGGGCGUAAAGCGAGCGCAGGCGGUUUUUUAAGUCUGAUGUGAAAGCCCUCGGCUUAACCGAGGAAGCGCAUCGGAAACUGGGAAACUUGAGUGCAGAAGAGGACAGUGGAACUCCAUGUGUAGCGGUGAAAUGCGUAGAUAUAUGGAAGAACACCAGUGGCGAAGGCGGCUGUCUGGUCUGUAACUGACGCUGAGGCUCGAAAGCAUGGGUAGCGAACAGGAUUAGAUACCCUGGUAGUCCAUGCCGUAAACGAUGAAUGCUAGGUGUUGGAGGGUUUCCGCCCUUCAGUGCCGCAGCUAACGCAUUAAGCAUUCCGCCUGGGGAGUACGACCGCAAGGUUGAAACUCAAAGGAAUUGA
rnacentral:rRNA from 1 species